GGCCAUGUGGUGAAGUAGCAACACGGCGGUCUGCAAAACCGUUACACGCGGGUGCAAAUCCCGCCAUGGCCU
rnacentral:tRNA from 1 species